AUUGAACGCUGGCGGCAGGCCUAACACAUGCAAGUCGAACGGUAACAGGAAACAGCUUGCUGUUUCGCUGACGAGUGGCGGACGGGUGAGUAAUGUCUGGGAAACUGCCUGAUGGAGGGGGAUAACUACUGGAAACGGUAGCUAAUACCGCAUAACGUCGCAAGACCAAAGAGGGGGACCUUCGGGCCUCUUGCCAUCGGAUGUGCCCAGAUGGGAUUAGCUAGUAGGUGGGGUAACGGCUCACCUAGGCGACGAUCCCUAGCUGGUCUGAGAGGAUGACCAGCCACACUGGAACUGAGACACGGUCCAGACUCCUACGGGAGGCAGCAGUGGGGAAUCUUGCACAAUGGGCGCAAGCCUGAUGCAGCCAUGCCGCGUGUAUGAAGAAGGCCUUCGGGUUGUAAAGUACUUUCAGCGGGGAGGAAGGGAGUAAAGUUAAUACCUUUGCUCAUUGACGUUACCCGCAGAAGAAGCACCGGCUAACUCCGUG
rnacentral:rRNA from 1 species